UAGACUGAUGCCUGCGGGUUUAGGUAAAUAGCUGUUAACUAUUUUUUGCUAGAUCGAGGCUAGCCGGCUUUU
rnacentral:tRNA from 1 species